rnacentral:lncRNA from 1 species
UGAUCUGCCUCAGCUCCCAGUUGAUGCGCACGUCCGUCGUCGUCCCGCCCAACCCCGUCUCCAUGGCCGAAUGAUUGGCAUUAGUUUAAUCCCCGCCCUCAUUCCCCGGCCGAUCUUUUUCCUGCCAAUGGGAAGUGAAGUCACUCACUCGAGUGCCUUUGUUAGUUUGCGUGAGGUAGAAAGCCACUCGGUACUAUCCACCACGUCCCCUAGCUCCUUUUCGGCCCCCGCGCACCUCUCUAAAUCCUCUCGUCCGUCCGUCCGUCCACAGACCACAGCUGGGAUCCCGAUCAAUGGCGCGGAGGGGCGGUGGCGGUGGCGACCGGCGGCGGCAGCGCUGGGGCGCGGAGUGGGGAGGGUGUGGCGACGGCGGCGAGGUGAUCACCUGAAGGAUUUGCUAUCGUGGUAGGCAAGUCUGAUUCUUGGCUGAUGUCGUCCUCCUACACAAUGGCAAAACAGUGUCUUCUUUUUUUUUUUCUUUUUCUUUCUCUUUCUCUGUCCCUUUUCCGGUUCUCCCUUCUGUUGGGGCACUGGAUUUUCUUUCGACUCUCUCAUCCAUCAGGUCCUGCGGCUCACGUCGAUCUGUUCAGAACAGUUGCUCGAGUGUCUCUGCUCAUCUGUCGUGUGUAUGGAGUUGUGUGCUGCCAUGGUGCGUUGUGUGUGUGUGUGUGUGCGUGUCCUGGUCUUAAGGAUACUAUAUAUGUAAACACAGUCUGAGAGGAAUGGCGGGUGUUGUGAUAAGGAGGCAAACGAAAAUGCAUAGGUUGCGUGUUUGGUGAAUAAUUCUGGGCGUUUUGUAGUCAUGUUAUUAAAGUUUAAACGUGUCUCCCAUCUUUUUUUUUCUGCCUGGAGAUUUCGUGUCUCUGUUCAUUCAUUCUUCGUACACCCUACAGUGGCGGACGCAGGACCAAAAUUCAUGGGGAGCCAAAAAAACACAUUACAACUGAGAAAGAGGCGGGGUCAGAUGAUGUCUCCAACUGAGAGCCAGGGCUCGCUGGUUCGUCAAGCUCGCCAGUUGUCGGGGACGGAUCGCAUCGUCGAGACGAGCGAGGUUGGGUUUGCCAAGAGCGGGAUGGUGUCAUGACGAUAACGAGCGAGACGAGGACGUUGGGAAGGGGGCCAGUGUUAGGCGACGUCAGGCGUCAAGAAGGAGGCGGUGGUGUCAAGAACGGAGCAUCUGGGCGGAUUGGCCCCGGCAGGUCGGGACGUCAGAAGAAACGGGACCUGAUGGAUAGAUGCGAGAACUAGAUCAAAGAGGAUGGAAGUUGAGAGAACUGCUCAGGGCAAUUUUAGCCUAUCCAAACCUUAUUUUUAUAUAUUUUACAGUAG